CUGGCUCAGGACGAACGCUGGCGGCGUGCCUAAUACAUGCAAGUCGAGCGGACAGAAGGGAGCUUGCUCCCGGAUGUUAGCGGCGGACGGGUGAGUAACACGUGGGUAACCUGCCUGUAAGACUGGGAUAACUCCGGGAAACCGGAGCUAAUACCGGAUAGUUCCUUGAACCGCAUGGUUCAAGGAUGAAAGACGGUUUCGGGCUGUUCCCUUACAGAUGGGACCCGCGGCGCAUUAGCUAGUUGGUGAGGUAACGGCUCACCAAGGCGACGAUGCGUAGCCGACCUGAGAGGGUGAUCGGCCACACUGGGACUGAGACACGGCCCAGACUCCUACGGGAGGCAGCAGUAGGGAAUCUUCCGCAAUGGACGAAAGUCUGACGGAGCAACGCCGCGUGAGUGAUGAAGGUUUUCGGAUCGUAAAGCUCUGUUGUUAGGGAAGAACAAGUGCAAGAGUAACUGCUUGCACCUUGACGGUACCUAACCAGAAAGCCACGGCUAACUACGUGCCAGCAGCCGCGGUAAUACGUAGGUGGCAAGCGUUGUCCGGAAUUAUUGGGCGUAAAGGGCUCGCAGGCGGUUUCUUAAGUCUGAUGUGAAAGCCCCCGGCUCAACCGGGGAGGGUCAUUGGAAACUGGGAAACUUGAGUGCAGAAGAGGAGAGUGGAAUUCCACGUGUAGCGGUGAAAGGCGUAGAGAUGUGGAGGAACACCAGUGGCGAAGGCGACUCUCUGGUCUGUAACUGACGCUGAGGAGCGAAAGCGUGGGGACGAACAGGAUUAGAUACCCUGGUAGUCCACGCCGUAAACGAUAAAUGCUAAGUGUUAGGGGGUUUCCGCCCCUUAGUGCUGCAGCUAACGCAUUAAGCAACACGCAUUGGGGUGACCGUC
rnacentral:rRNA from 1 species